rnacentral:rRNA from 1 species
CCUACGGGGGGCAGCAGUGAGGAAUAUUGGUCAAUGGCCGGAAGGCUGAACCAGCCAUGCCGCGUGAUCGAAUGAAGGCCUUCGGGUUGUAAAGAUCUGUUGACAGGGACGAAUAAGCAAUGCGAAUAGUUUUGUGUAUGACGGUACCUGUUUAGAAAGCUCCGGCUAACUACGUGCCAGCAGCCGCGGUAAUACGUAGGGAGCAAGCGUUGUCCGGAAUUACUGGGCGUAAAGGGCGCGUAGGUGGGCGCUUAAGUCAGGUGUGAAAACUCCGGGCUCAACCUGGAGACUGCACUUGAAACUGGGUGUCUUGAGGGCAGGAGAGGAAAGUGGAAUUCCUAGUGUAGCGGUGAAAUGCGUAGAUAUUAGGAGGAACACCAGUGGCGAAGGCGACUUUCUGGACUGUACCUGACGCUGAGGCGCGAAAGCGUGGGUAGCGAACGGGAUUAGAUACCCUUGUAGUC